rnacentral:rRNA from 1 species
CAUCCCGAACACGGAAGUUAAGCCCUCCAGAGCCGAUGGUACUCCGCGGGAAACCGCGUGGGAGAGUAGGUCGCUGCCGGAU